GAGGAUCUUGGCAUGAUAAUACAUAUGAAUCCAUCUUAUGGAGAUUAUAAGUACAAAUGAAAUAUCUCAACAAGAGAGUUCCUUCAAUUAGAGGAUGCAAAGUACUUUAGUUUGUAUUAAUUA